UCUUGGUCAUUUAGWGGAAGUAAAAGUCGUAACAAGGUUUCCGUAGGUGAACCUGCGGAAGGAUCAUUAAAGAUUAAUAGAUUGUUGCUGGCUAGGUGAUUCUAGCAUGUGCACAUCUUUAUUACCAUCUUCACACUUGUGCACCUAUUGUAGAUUCCUAGUGGAUCUAUGUUUUUAUUACACUAUAUUGUAUGUCCCAAGAAUGUUUUCUAUUAUACAACUUUCAGCAAUGGAUCUCUUGGCUCUUGCAUCGAUGAAGAACGCAGCGAAUUGCGAUAAGUAAUGUGAAUUGCAGAUUUUCAGUGAAUCAUCGAAUCUUUGAACGCACCUUGCACUCCUUGGUAUUCCAAGGAGUAUGCCUGUUUGAGUGUCAUUUAAUUAUCAAUCUUAGGAUUGGACUUGGGAUUUGCUGGCUUUGAGUAGUCAGCUGUCCUUAAAUGUAUUAGCAAGUCAAGUCUUGAUGUGCACGGCCUGUCUUCGGUGAUAAAUGAUCCGUUGGUCCGGGCUGGAAGCGUUAUUAGGAAACUUGCUUAUAAUUAUUGUGUAACCAAAAAUUUUGACCUCAAAUCAGGUAGGACUACCCGCUGAACUUAAGCAUAUCAAUAAGCGGAGGAAAAGAAACUAACAAGGAUUCCCCUAGUAACUGCGAGUGAAGCGGGAAAAGCUCAAAUUUUGAAUCUGGCAGUCUUAAUUGAUUGUCCGAAUUGUAAUCUAGAGAAGCGUCUUCCGCRCUGGACCGUGUACAA
rnacentral:rRNA from 1 species